rnacentral:rRNA from 1 species
UACGUAGGGUGCGAGCGUUGUCCGGAAUUAUUGGGCGUAAAGAGCUCGUAGGCGGUCUGUCGCGUCUGCUGUGAAAACCCGAGGCUCAACCUCGGGCCUGCAGUGGGUACGGGGCAGACUAGAGUGCGGUAGGGGAGAUUGGAAUUCCUGGUGUAGCGGUGGAAUGCGCAGAUAUCAGGAGGAACACCGAUGGCGAAGGCAGAUCUCUGGGCCGUAACUGACGCUGAGGAGCGAAAGCGUGGGGAGCGAACAGG